CACCUCUCAGGGUCGCACCUGGAGAGUUCCUAGGACUCUACCAGUCUCAACUAUGGGAGGGAGAGCCAGGCAGAGGCAUAGCCAUUCCAUUUCCAGCUUGGGCAGUGGCUAGUGAGUGGAGGGAAAUCUGCUACAAGU